rnacentral:misc_RNA from 1 species
UUGAGCCAUCUGGUGUUAAAAAAGAAAGUAAGUAUCAUUGAGAAGUCGCCAUUUAUUGGUAAAGGCAAGACGAAACCUCAAUCUGAUUAAAAUUGAUGCAAAAAUCUAUUUAGAAAAAAAUAUUUUGUAAAGUAUCGUCAUUAUUUAAAAUGCCUACAUCAUGUAGUGUAUAUGGUUGUAGUAAUAGAUUUUCUAAAGAGAAAAAGAUUCAAUUUUUUACUUUUCCUUUCAAGAAUAAGCAUAGACUCGAAGCAUGGAUAAAAGCGGUUCAUAGAAAAGAUUGGGAGCCUUCUAAGGCAAGUAGAAUUUGUAGUGCACAUUUCAAGCCGCAGGAUUUCUUGCAUCGUCCUGGUACAGCUUUGUAUCCAUAUAUAAGAAGAUUAAAGCAUGACGCCAUUCCAUCUGUAUUUUCAAACUAUCCUGAAAGUUUGGAAUUGAACGAGUCUAAUUUAGGAAAAGAAAAAUUACCAACGUCUGUUAUAAAUGUACCGGAGUGUUCUAAUGAACCAGGGCAAAGUUUCCAAGAUCCACUAGUAUAUUCUAAUGAAUUAAACGAACUAACAUUAAAAGUAGAAGAGCAAAUAGAACAUGAUUAUAGAUAUCGGAAGAAAGAUAUAUUAAUUGACAAGUUGCAACGUCAAAUUUUUGUAUUAAAGCGACAAGUGAAUAGAAAAGAUAGAAAAAUAGAACGUAUGAAAGCAUUGAUAUUAUAUUUACAGAAAAAAAGAUUGGAUGAUUUUCGUCGGAAUUUUCUAGGAUAUAAUAAAAUGUACUUUAUUAGUCAUCAAAGUCGCCUCAAGUCUGCGGCAGCACACAGAUAAAUUAAUAUUAUAUUAAAUCAAUUUAUUUUAUGAAUCACACAUAAUCUUGAAUUGGAUAUGCUUUGGAUAAAAAUUUGAAUUAAAUGAAAAUUUCUUCUAUUGUUAGAAUUAUGUAGGUCAGCAAUGUUAGACAUUAAAAAAUUCCUAUAUGAAAUCAAAGAAAUGUUGUUUAGACGCCAUCUGCUUGUAAGCGGUGCCACCAAUGCGGCGCCACCAAUGCGGUGCCACUAAUGCGGCGCCACUUCUCUGCUAUACGUGGCUCAAUUGUUGAAGAGGUUACUCUAUUGUCGUCAUCAAUUUGUCGAGAAUAUUCGAUUGAAAACAAUUGAGAGUUGUUUUUUCCAUUCGUGUUUUUAAGUUGAAAAACUAUUUUCCAUUAUUAAUUAUUAAUAAUAAUUGGAUUUAUCGAACGAAUGUUUUCUCUUUAACACACAAAAACAUUCAUUGUUACUCUUUGUGGCGCCACCGAGUUGCUUUGCCAAAGUAUUUAGUGGUCUAGUGUGGCGCGGUAAUGUUACUUAUAAAGAACACAACAUGGAAGAUAUUAAUAAUAUAAACACUGAAGAAUUUAUAUCAGAAAUAGAAGCACGUCCAGCUAUUUGGGAAUUAUCCAGCGACGAUUAUACCAAUAAAGUUACUAAGAAGAACGCUUGGGAAGAAGUUAUUACAAAAUUUUGUCCUGAAUUUGAAAGAACAUCUAGUCCUGAGAGAAAUAAUAUUGCCUUACGUUUUCAGAGAAAGUGGAAAAGUUUGCGAGACUGUUACUCUAGAGAAUUAUUAAAAAUGAAAAAAGAGAAAGGAACUCCAGCUAAUCGAAGGCGGUAUAGGUAUUAUAAUCAAUUGAGUUUUCUACAAACUGUUGUAAAACCGAUAUCGGUAAUAGAAAAUGUAGAGAAUAUGACAAUGUCUGUGAAGAAAGAACCAGAAAAGCUAAGAGAGAUGGAAGCUACUCUUAAAUCACGUUCUCGUAAUAAGAAAAAUAUAUCGUCGGAUAUGAAACAGUUAGAAGAAAAUAUGAAACAGUUAGAGGAGGAUAAACUUUUUGUAAGCGUAGCUGAAAAAUUAAUAAGAGAACGUUGUCAAGAGACUAUGGAAAAGGACGAAGACACUUUAUUUGUGUUGUCGUUAGUACCUGAAUUAAAAAAGAUACCAGACGAUAUCAAGCUCGAUGUUAAAUGUGAAUUAUUAAAUGUAUUUAAGAAAGCUAGAUUAAGUCUAGGCUUUCCCCCUUCUGCAUCUGCACCCUCAACGUGUUUGAUUCCCCCAUUAAAUUCUCCAUUAACUAAUCAAUGCCAAUUAAUGCAAGGCUUCAAACAAAAUAAUCAAUCCAAUGCAAAUAGAUCCACCACUCAUACGCAAACUGCUACCUAUACGUAUCCACAAACUCAAAGUCCAUUAUCAUCUUCUGUACAUACGCCUUCUCCAACAUCUUCACAACUUUCACAUUCGUCGCAAAAU